rnacentral:sRNA from 1 species
CUUGCAUGCAAUUAUCACAGCCCGAGUGCUCCUCCGUUGAGAGACUUCGCCCCCGAGACCGCUGACUGUGAAUGACAAAUCAAAAGUCAGGGUUGCAGAAUCAGCCGGACUUUCCUGCUCAUUUGCAGCAGAGAGAGGAAGCAGAGAAUGAAAGAUUCUGAAAAUAAAGGAGUGGUUAUUAUUGAGUCGAGAAUUUUUGGGAAAAGUAACACGUGGAGAGUCAAUUUUUGAGUGGAAGGAGUCUGAAGAGAGGGUAGGAACCAACCUCCUACUACCCACCAGGUGCCUCAUCUCCAGACAUGGAGCCCAGCUAUGGGGGAGGUCUCUUUGACAUGGUAAAAGGAGGUGCAGGGAGGCUCUUUAGUAACCUAAAGGACAACUUGAAAGACACCCUCAAAGACACAUCUUC